GAUGAACGCUGGCGGCGUGCCUAACACAUGCAAGUCGAACGGUAACGCGCCUUCCUUUGUUGUCGGGUGGCAACCGCGGGCGUAUGACAAAGGAACGUGCACCCUCCUGGGAAAUAACGAAGAGCAACCGUUACCAAGAGCGCAUACGAUCUAAUAUUUUAAACCGGUGGCCUCAAGGGUUUGCGCCGGCCUUGCUGUCGAUGGUAGAUGGGUUCGCGCUGGAUUAGCUAGUUGGUCAGGUAAAAGCUUACCAAGGCGACGAUGUGUAGCCGGCCUGAGAGGAUGAUCAGCCACACUGGGACUGAGACACGGCCCAGACUCCUACGGGAGGCAGCAGUAGGGAAUUUUGGGCAAUGGGCGAAAGCCUGAUGGAGCAACGCCGCGUGAGGGAUGAAGGUCUUCGGAUCGUAAACUUCUUUUAUAAGGAAAGAAAAGCUUUGUUUGUAUCUGGGAGGGUCUUGACGGUACCUAAAGAAAAAGCACCGGCUAACUACGUG
rnacentral:rRNA from 1 species